UCUGUUCUGGCCAAGAACACUGCCUUGAAUUUUGGAUUGCCUACAAGCUCUGCAGAAUUCUCAAUUUUCCUUGUUCACAAGGUAUAAUUUUCUGCAACAGAAGCUCUGAGAGUGGUGCAGUGCAAGAACAGUGAGCAACAAUAUGGAAAACAAAAUAAAAAAUAAUAACAACUACACUAAACUAAGCACUGGUAAUCCUUCAGUGUACCUACUGAAUCUGAGAGACACAGGAAGUGGUGCUCUUCACAAAAAAGACUUUGGACAUACUUGUCAUUGUACUCAUCCAAACAAAACAAUAAUGCUCAUGGGUGCUACUGGCUCUGGAAAGAGCACUCUCAUUAAUGGCAUGAUCAACUAUAUACUCGGAGUGGAGUGGAGUGAUUCAUGUAGAUUUAAACUGAUAGAUGAGCAAACCAAUAAAACACAAGCCGAGAGCCAGACUUCAGACGUUACAGCAUAUCAGAUUCACCAUCAAAAUGACUUCCAGGUUCCCUAUUCAGUCACAAUCAUAGACACACCAGGGUUUGGAGACACGAGAGGAAUUGCACAAGACAAGGAGAUCACUGAGAAAAUCAGAAAGUUCUUUUCUGAAAAAGAUGGCAUCCUUACUCUUGAUGCUGUUUGUUUUGUGGUACAGUCAGCUUUAGCUCGACUAACCCAUACCCAGAAAUACAUUUUUGAAGCUAUUCUUUCAAUCUUUGGAAAAGACAUAGCAAACAAUAUCACUGUUAUGAUAACAUUUGCUGAUGGACAGAAACCUCCUGUACUAGAAGCCAUUAAAGCUGCUGAUAUCCCUUGUGGAAAAAAGGAAGAUGGAACACUCCUUCAUUUCAAAUUCAACAAUUCUGCACUUUUUGCUCAGAAUAUAGACUUGGAUGAUGAAGACAACUUUGAUGAAAUGUUCUGGAAAAUGGGCAAAGGAAGCAUGAAACGAUUCUUUAAUCACUUAGGGACAAUGGAAACCAAAAGUCUUCAGCUCACAAAAGAAGUUCUGUCUGAACGCAAAACCUUAGAGACAGUUGUAGAUGGAGUGCAACCCCUCAUCCAAACCGGACUGGAAAAACUUGAUGAAAUCAAAAUGACAAGAUCGGUACUGGAAGAAAACCAGAAUGUCAUAAAGGAAAAUGAAAAUUUUGAAUAUGAGAUUGAAAUACCAAAGUGUAAGAAAAUUGACAUUGAAAGGGGAAAAUUUGUAACAAAUUGUCAUGGCUGCAACUUCACCUGCCAUUAUCCAUGUGCCUAUUCAAAUGAUCAAGAUAAACAACGUUGUUCAUCAAUGAAAAACGGCAACUGUACAGUGUGUCCUGGUAAAUGCGUGUGGAAUGUGCAUCACAACAUGCCAUUCAGAUUUGAAACUGAACUUGUAAAAGAGAAAAGGACAUAUGCAAAUCUGAAAAAGCAAUAUGAAGAGGCUUUAGGGAAAAGUAUGACAAUAGAGAAAAUCAACAAGCAGUUGGAGGAGGAAUAUAUGGAUGUACAAGAACAAGUCUUGAAGUUAAAUGAUAAACUUGCCAGAAGCCUGACACGUCUGAAGGAAAUUGCUCUCCGCCCUGAUCCCCUGUCCACACCAGAAUACAUUGAACUACUGAUUGAGUCUGAGAAGCAAUCUGCCAAAGCAGGGUACAAAAAUCGCAUUGCUGAACUGGAGGAGAUAAAAAAACGUGCUUUGAUUGUGCAGAAAGUGGAGAGAGGAGAACCACUUGCUGAACACGAGGAGGUCUGGAAGCCAAGGGAAAAAAUUGCUCAAAAAUUAAAUGGCUUGUUUAAUAAUAUGGUAACAUGGUACAAUAAACCUAAAGUUUCUAGUUUCUAAAUUUAGAAACUAGAAAAAAAAACAUACCUUUGCAGUGCUAGUGACAUAAGACAGGCAUAAAUCAAUGACUUUUUUUUCCAAAGGAAAUUAUUCAGCUGUAUAUUCAACUUCUGCCUGUAUAUUGUAAAUUACAUGAUAAAAUCAGAUAAAUCUUUUCUGCAUAUAAUUUUAGUAUUCUGACUUUUUUUGGAUCAACAUAAAUGUGAUUUGUUUUUCUGCUUAUGUGCAAGUACGUUGCACUUAACGUACAGCAUGAUGUCUGCAGCAGGCUCUAAAUGCAAAUAACUAAUUAAAAAGAAGCAGAAAGUACAUAGUAGAUGUAAAUUGCAUGUUUUUUUUUAGUUAACAACUUCUUUUGAUUUUCUCGUCUCAUGAUAUAAUGUAUAAAAAAGUUUUGCUGUAAUUUUUUUCAGUGAAAACUACAUUAAUCAGUAAAUAUUCCAUAUCUCUGCCAUUUUCUAAUUAUUUUUAAAAAUUACAUACAUAUUGAUACUGGAUUUGCAAAGGUCAUGCAAAAAAUCCCCAAACCAGGUUCAAGGAUAUGUUUGUUUAUAUUUAGUAUAAACUGUAUUUUAUUUGGCCAGCUAACAAAAUCCAAUAACUUCACAAUAAUUUGUGAUCUAUUCUUGUAAAAAAUAUUCGUUUCCUGUAAAUGUAAAAUUCUAAUAUUGUAAAUUUCGAUAUUACUUUUUCUACUAAUUUGUCACUGUUUAGCCAAAUCUCAUUUCUAUACCAAGGUACAUUCACAUUUUUGCCAUUUGGCAGCUGCCCUUAUCCAAAGCGACUUCAAUUUGAUCUCAUGAUCGUCUCCAGUUGUCUAGCCAUUACAGUUUGGCCCUUGUCAAACUCGCUCAAAGCCUUACGCUUGCCCAUUUUUCCUGCGUCUAACACAUCAACUUUGAGGACAAAAUGUUCACUUGCUGCCUAAUAUAUCCCACCCACUAACUAAUAUUUAGUGUUAUUCACUUCAGUUGUCAGUGCUCAUAAUGUUAUAGCUGAUCGGUGUACAUUAAUACAUAUAGUAAUAGCUAAUUUACAGGGACUUAAAUAGCAGAUAUUCCACAUAAUCUAAUAAUCUAAUAAUUCUUGCUUACAUUUAAAAAUGUAUUAUCAUUUUGACUCUUUCUAUAUGUGGAUCUUUAUUUAAAGUUUAUCGAAAAUCCAGUCCUUCAGUCCUUUGUAACUAUAAAAUGAAACAUGUUGGCAAAUGCCUGGCAAAUGGUCUGCCACUGCUGUGAAUUUGAAAAGGUUCUAACCCUUUCUCACAGUACACUAGUUUUCAAAAAUCAGCUGAAAAUGGCUUAUCUGAUAUUUUUAAUCAGUAUAAUAUUAUAAAAUAUAGUAAAACAGUAAAAUAUAACAGUAAAAUAUAUAAUAAUAUUUUAUAUAUUAAUAGUUAUGUUAUCAUGUCAAGAUUAGUCAGGACACUUUUGGGUUUCUGCCUGAUAAUCUGGGGCUCUUCUGAUGGAUCCAUAGUCAGCAGCUUACACAAAGUGAGUGGCAUGCUAAAUCAAAAAUACUACCACAGUAUUUUGAGUCACGGUGUAAUACCCUCUACCUAGUUGGUCAGAGGUUCAUCCUACAGCAAGACAAUGAUUCAAAAUGAUAUCUCCAGGCUGUGUUAGAACUAGCUUAAAAGAAAAUAAUAAGAUGGUAGGCUUCAAAUCAUGGAAUGGCUGUAGAAUUAAACUCCAUCCAGCUGGUUUGGGAUGAACUGGACAGAAGAGUGAAAGUAAAGCAACCUACAAGUGCAACAUAUCUGCAACAGUGUUGGAAAGAACUUUUCAAACAAUAUUUAAUUUCCGUUGAAGAAUGCCACAAAUGUGUUCAACUGUUAUAUCUGCGAAAGAUGGCUACUUUGAUGAAUCAAAAGUUUGCAUUAGAUUUUGCUAAUCAGUGUGAUGUCUAAUUGUUAAGGUGUUCUGUGCGUUAAUGUCAGAGUACACUGAGACAUUAGCCUAUGUAAAUUUCUGUAAAAAGUUGAAAAAUAUAGGUGCUCUAAAACUUUUGAACAGUAAUGUAUAUUGGAAGCACUCCUCAUUCAAUUAUCGUCCGGGUGCUGAAUGGAUAGCACUGGUAUAGCAACCCCAGUGAAGUAAACAUAAGACCUCGUGGUGUGACGGCAAAAACUCUCCUCACAGCUAGCCAGUCAGAGGGUCAGCAGGAACUCCUCACCCUCAGUUAGAAGCACGGAAAAUAUCAAGGGGCCCAGCAGACUCAGUGUGGUAAGACAAUAAAUGGGGAUUUACUGAAACUGAACGCUACAAUGACUUCAGUGACUCAGACAUUAGGAAACAAUACCUGUAGGUUGUACAGUUUCACAGUAAAGCUGAGUGUACUUAGCAUUCAAUAAUCAAACUGGAACUCGGCAUACCUGAUAUCAGUUUAAACAAAUGAAUUAUUUUAUUGCUACAAGUCUAUAAGAUGAGAGAGAAAGGAGAGGGAAAAGUACAAAGGGAGUAUAAGGGAAAGGGAAAAGUACAAAAGAAAAACCAACGACAAAUUCCCCAGGUAUCAGUUGGCAUGUAACUGAUAUGAUAAGAUUUGACUUACAGAGCUGGUGCAAAAAUAAUUGGCUGAUAUUCUUGAACAUUGUGAAUAGUAUAUGUAUGAUAAAGUAUCAUGAGUAAAUUCUCCGUGAUGCCUUCUCAAUCCGUUUACAAUCUUUUUAUGCGCUCUAAUCGCAUAAGGAAUCGCACAAGACAAAGAGAUCACUGAGAAAAUCAGGAAGUUCUUCUGCAUAUUUCUGAUUACUUUUGUUGUUAUUGAAUCAACUUAAAUGUGAUUUUUUUUCUGCUUAACUGCAAGUAUGUUAUUUUUAGCACGGUGUCUUCAGCAGGCUCUAAAUUCUGAAUAGAACUUGCAUGUUUUGUGAAUUAAUAAAUCUACAAUUAAAUCAAUUUCUUCUGAUUUUGUCUAAUUAUACAAUGCAUAGAAAAAUGUUGCUGUAAUUGUUCAGUAAAUACUACAUUAACCAGUAAAUCUAUUUCUUUGCCAGUAUUUUUAAUAAUUACAUACGUAUUGAUACUGGAUUCACAAAGGAUCCCAAAACCAGGUUCAUGGCUGCCUACUGUAGAUUAAAUGGUCUGUGAAUGUAAUUCAUAUGUCUACCUUAUACAUACUACAAACUGCAUGACAAUAAUUUGAGAAUGAAUUUAUUACUAUGAAAAUAUUCCUAUGCAAAUGUAAAAUCCUAAUAUUGUGAAUCUUAUUAUAAAUAAAAUAAAGAAUUUAAUUUUCAUUUAGUUUUUUUAUUUUUUAUUUUUGAUAUAAGAAUGAAUCUGUUUGUAGUGAGUCACACACUUGGAUUGUGCGCCAAAGCAGAGCUGUAAUGAGCAGGGUGUGGUUUAAUCGCAAUAUGAUUGGGGAGUGUAUAUAUAUUCCGGGGUAUGGGGUAUGGGUCGCCACCCGGUGUGCAUCAUAGCUCAGGGCCUCUGAUGCGUUUACGGUAUGUAUAGUGGCUACUUGGCUAAGGCCAAUUAGACUGCUUUAUGCUUUAUGAUCUUUGGUUUUCUUGCCUUUCUCCCCCUUAGCCGAUAGUGUUUUGUUUUUCAGUCAUCAUAGUGGAUGUGUGGGCCAUUGGCUGACCUCCCCCCCGGUUACCUUCCGCCGAAUGCAAUUUAGAUCGUGGGAAACCUUUGGCCUCGGGGUGUGUAUCAUAGGAAUUCUGGCCGUAGUGGUAAAAUGAUGGUGGGUAAAAUAAGGUGUUAAAUAUUGCGAUGAAUUGGUGCAUAAUGUAAAAUCGUUUUUUGUUUUUCAGGUGAAGACUACAAUCACAGGAAAGAAAUAGCUUCUUGGAUAUCUGACAUUGCAGGGCAGCAUCCUGCAGCACUGUUGUCUUACACACGAAACUGCUACUGAUGGUUUUAUGAAUGAGCUCGCUGUCUUCAUGAAAACUACUGUUCGAGUCAAGCCCCAGGGCAGGCCUCAAGUUGUCCUUCCUGUUUGGUGGUGGUGCUUCCUUCACUGCGUGCUGUGUGGCUGUGCAUGAUCCCACUGGUGUGCGGUGCGAGUGAGUUGAGUGUGUAUUUGUCGAGGUAUUUUUGAGUAGGCCAAUAAGGAAGUUGAGGCUGGGUUGCCUGGCCUGGGUUGACUCUGGCUCCUAGUGUAUUCAUGUUUGCUUAUUUGUAUUUGUGAGUGUGUGUGUAGACAAGUGGGUGACAGUCCUUUCCGGUCUUUAUUGUAGUGGUUGAUCUUUUGU